rnacentral:rRNA from 1 species
CCUACGGGAGACAGCAGUGAGGAAUAUUGGUCAAUGGACGAGAGUCUGAACCAGCCAAGUAGCGUGAAGGAUGACUGCCCUAUGGGUUGUAAACUUCUUUUAUAUGGGAAUAAAAUGUUCCACGUGUGGGAUUUUGUAUGUACCCUAUGAAUAAGGAUCGGCUAACUCCGUGCCAGCAGCCGCGGUAAUACGGAGGAUCCGAGCGUUAUCCGGAUUUAUUGGGUUUAAAGGGAGCGUAGGUGGAUUGUUAAGUCAGUUGUGAAAGUUUGCGGCUCAACCGUAAAAUUGCAGUUGAAACUGGCAGUCUGGAGUACAGUAGAGGUGGGCGGAAUUCGUGGUGUAGCGGUGAAAUGCUUAGAUAUCACGAAGAACUCCGAUUGCGAAGGCAGCUCACUGGACUGCAACUGACACUGAGGCUCGAAAGUGUGGGUAUCAAACAGGAUUAGAUACCCUUGUAGUC